rnacentral:rRNA from 1 species
CAGUCGAGCGAUGAAGUUUCUUCGGAAAUGGAUUAGCGGCGAACGGGUGAGGAACACGUGAAGAAUCUGCCCUCCACUUUGGGAUAACACCGGGAAACCGGUGCUAAUACCGAAUAUUGAAACAUAAGUGGCAUCACUGAGUUUUGAAAGAAUUUCGGUGGAGGAUGACUUCGCGGCCUAUCAGCUAGUUGGUGAGGUAAUGGCUCACCAAGGCAACGACGGGUAGCCGGCCUGAGAGGGCGACCGGCCACACUGGGACUGAGACACGGCCCAGACUCCUACGGGAGGCAGCAGUGGGGAAUAUUGGGCAAUGGAGGAAACUCUGACCCAGCGACGCCGCGUGCGGGAUGAAGGCCUUCGGGUUGUAAACCGCUUUCAGUAGGGAAGAAGCGAAAGUGACGGUACCUACAAAAGAAGCACCGGCUAACUAUGUGCCAGCAGCCGCGGUAAUACAUAGGGUGCAAGCGUUGUCCGGAAUUAUUGGGCGUAAAGAGCUCGUAGGUCGUUUGUUACGUCGGAUGUGAAAACCUGAGGCUCAACCUCAGGCCUGCAUUCGAUACGGGCAAACUAGAGUUUGGUAGGGGAGACUGGAAUUCCUGGUGUAGCGGUGGAAUGCGCAGAUAUCAGGAGGAACACCAAUGGCGAAGGCAGGUCUCUGGGCCAAUACUGACACUGAGGAGCGAAAGUCUGGGGAGCGAACAGGAUUAGAUACCCUGGUAGUCCAGACCGUAAACGGUAGGCACUAGUUGUGGGAACCUUCCACGGUUUCUGCGACGCAGCUAACGCAUUAAGUGCCCCGCCUGGGGAGUACGAUCGCAAGAUUAAAACUCAAAGGAAUUGACGGG